rnacentral:rRNA from 1 species
CCUACGGGGGGCAGCAGUGAGGAAUAUUGGUCAAUGGGCGCUAGCCUGAACCAGCCAAGUAGCGUGAAGGAUGACUGCCCUAUGGGUUGUAAACUUCUUUUAUAUGGGAAUAAAGUGCAGUAUGUAUACUGCUUUGCAUGUACCUUAUGAAUAAGGAUCGGCUAACUCCGUGCCAGCAGCCGCGGUAAUACGGAGGAUCCGAGCGUUAUCCGGAUUUAUUGGGUUUAAAGGGAACGUAGGCGGGUUGUUAAGUCAGUUGUGAAAGUUUGCGGCUCAACCGUAAAAUUGCAGUUGAUACUGGCAGCCUUGAGUACAGUAGAGGUAGGCGGAAUUCGUGGUGUAGCGGUGAAAUGCUUAGAUAUCACGAAGAACUCCGAUUGCGAAGGCAGCCUGCUGGACUGUAACUGACGCUGAUGCUCGAAAGUGUGGGUAUCAAACAGGAUUAGAUACCCCAGUAGUC